UGUUGUGUGAACCAGACUUGCCCGCAUCAAAAACAUUGGAACUACAGAAGCACAUGCACUCCAUGAUCAAUCAGCUGCAGUGGUGGAUUAUGCCUUCUCCAGGAAAGCAAAAAAGCUUCAUGGAGCCGUCCAAAGAUGAUGGAACAGCAGAACCACACACGCGCCAUGAUCGUCAGCUGAAACGACGGAGUGCGGCUUCUCUAGAAAAGCAAGGAAUCUUCACAGAGCCAUCCAACGAUGAGGUCUAGCUCGCGCAUGGUGACUUGGGUUCUUUAUAGUACUCUUAUAUGUUCUGCUGUGAGCACUCAAAAGUGAAGGAACGCUCACCAGUUUCCAUCAAGCUGUAAGAUCAACAACGAAAGAAUAAAAUUCUAGAAGAGACAGAU